UCUUCUCUAUAUGAGAAUCUCAUUCUCUCUGAUUCUCUUCAUCUCUUCACUAAACUCAAUCUGCUCAUCACAGUCAAGAUGUUGAUCAUAUUCUACUGCCUUAUUCUCACUCUUCUGUCAUCUGUCAGAUGUGUGAAAGUGGUCACUCAGAAACACUCCAGUAUUUACAAACAAGAAGGCAAAUCUUGGAUUACGGACUGUAACAUUGAAAAGGAUGAGGGUCAAUACGUCAGCUGGUAUAAACAGAUUCCAAACGCAGCUCCUCAGUUUGUGUUGAGAUACUAUCAUUCUCACAGCGCCCCUGACAAAUAUGGGGAUGGUUUUACUUCCAGCCACUUCAGAAGUAAAGCUCAGUCAAAUAUUGACUAUCAGCUGAUCAUCAGUAACUUGGGUAUGGAUGAUUCUGCAGUGUAUUACUGUGGCACAUGGGACAGCUCUGGUAGUGAGUACGUUUCACAUUGAUUCACAGCAUGACAAAAACCUCCUCAAUGCUCACAUUCACUUCUGCUUUUAGACAAAUAAGAGCACUUCACAGCUCAGAUUCCUGAUGAAUUAAAACAUCAGAGAUGGUUAAAAUACCCUGCAGGUUCUUUGCUAAUUUGUCCUGUAAUUGCAUUUAUCUCUUUUGUCCUGUUUGUAGCUGGACAGUCAC